UUGGCUGGUGUCGGUCGGAUGUGUCCCUGCCUUGUGCGGCGACAUUCGUCCUAACCCGCCUUUUCAUUUUUGGUUCAAGUGCAGCUACGGCACUGACCGACGGUGGAUUUUCUGUGUUGAAUACCCAAAAAAGGGUGGAAACCAUUGCCCCAAUUGAAAUUUGUUCACAAACGCGUGCUACAUCAUUGUGUGCGCGGGUGACCCUUGAAGCGACUGCAUGUGUUCCUUGCUACACACAACUUCGAGUCUUGUGGCAAGGCCCACUGCAAAUCGCUCGAAAUUUCGGAUGCAGAACACGAAGUAGGCACGUGGUACAUGUUGCCAUGCUCUUUGCCUUCACAGCGUCCCACGCUUGCUAGCGUACGACCUUCUUUGCCGUUUUGUGCGAGCUGUCCGUAUGGAUUGGCUUGCACCAUCCGGUAAAGAUGKCUAUGAGGAAUGCU
rnacentral:misc_RNA from 1 species